AUGCGCUGUAGGAGCAAAGGUGUCCCCUUCUGUUGCUUCCCGGCCCUGCGCCUCUCCAGCACGGGUGGCCUCACCAAGCUUCCUUGGAGGUGAAUGGCUCAGGCCCUACAGCGCAGUCACAGUGCAAACCAGGAAGCCCAGGAUUCUAAUAAGUUGUAGGAGGUGGCCUCGGGUAAGCAAGUCAGAAAACCCCCCACCAGAAGCUGCUGGAAGAACCACGUGAUCAGAGGGCCGUCCGGUUCCAUACAGGUGUUUUCCAGAUCUCGUCAUUCGUUGCCUGCCUCAAACCCUGUGCAGGUUGGAGCAGAAGGAUGCAAUAUGGGGAAGCCCUUUACUUCGCAUCUGGUUUUCAAGACCUCAAGUUCCUUCUCAAGGUCUCACCAGAUAACUCCAAAACCCCUUCUCUCUCCUCAGAUGCUCAGGUAUUUUGUCUCAGUGAUGGAUUCUGACUGACACACCAGCUCCCCGCAGUUACACCAAUGGAUGAGCAGCCUUCCCUCCCCACUUGCAAUCCAAAGGGGCCGGCUUUCUUCAUCCAUUCACUAUUCCUAACCAGCCAUCCUAUGGGACACUACCAUGGCGGACUGGCAGCCCUGGUGGAAGGACAGAUGCGGGCUUUCCUACCCAUCUACCUUGGCAGUACUUUAAUCCAAGUGGUCACAAACAGCGGUCCUCACCAGCUCUAACCACCUGAUUAUUAGUUUCCUGUAGCCUGCUGUAACAACAUACUCCACACUGAGCGACUUAAAACAGUCCAGCUUAUUAUCCCUCAGUGCCAGGGUCAGAAGGCUGGGUGGGCUGUCUGGCUCCUCUGCUCAGGGCCUCCCUGUGCCAAAAGAAGGCACUGGCUGGCCUGGUGCUUAUCGGGAGACUCUGGGAACAAUCCACUUCUGAGAUCGUUCAGGUCAUUGGCAGGAUUCAUUUCCUUGCCAUUAUAGGAGGAGGGCCCGCUCCCCUGCUGGCUGUGGCUGAGGCUACCCUUGUCACCUUAAGGCCAUCUGCAGUCCUUGUCACAUUGCCAGGUAGACUGAAUUUGGCUCAAGAAGCCCCUUUUGUAGGAGGCUGCAGACUGAGAUGAGCUCAUUCUGCCCUGGAGCAGCUGAGAGAGAGGAGGAGAAGGCCCCGGAUGGAAAAACCUACAGUUUUCCUCUUGGGACAAAUCAACCCAGCCUAAGGCGCGAGUGCCUGUUCCCUUUCUCCCUGGCUUUUUGGAAGAGGUUUGGACCUGUCUGGUGAAGUCAGCGGCAGGAGUCCCACUCCUGGGUGUUGGUCCCCAGGGGGUCCUCCCCGUCAUUCCUUGGGCCUUCCCAGGAGUCUCCCUUGAGCUUGUGUCAGUUCUGGGUCCCUCAGCAUCAGAACACAAGGGAGUCGAUUUGGAAGGUGAUGGAGGAGAGGGACAGGAAAGGAAGCUGACAGUAUUUAUCAGCAAGUCACCUGGUGGCCACCCAGUGCUCAGCACCUCGGAGAACUCUGGGAAACAGGCGGAACACACUUAGCCCCUGGGAGGAGCUGGGGUAUUUUCGCCACCUCCCCUCAGUCUUUCUGCUUGUGCUGCUGUGGCAUCCCGUCUCCAGCACUUUGGCCGGCCAUGUGCAUGGGCACAUCCGGCUCUGGCAACCAGAGAAAUCCCCCUCAAAAAGACACAGUGCUGGCCACUGAGUGUCAGGCCGGCUGACAAAGAGGAGAGGACAGCCUGAGGGCCGAAGGGCUGGGGCACCCACGGCCUUGGCCACAUCCUUGGCUCAGUGUGUCCCUGAGUCCCUUGUGCUACCUAGGAGAUGGGAAACUCGGGAGGCCAAGGGCUUCUCUACCCAGGCCCAUCCUGCAGCAGGGCCUUGUCCCCCUAGCCAAGCUCUGCCUAGGCAGUGAGGCUUAGGGGCUCUCUGCUCCCAGAUCUGACAAAGCUGUCUGGGGGCCAGGGGCUUCCCACCCCAGUGCUCUGAGCUUAGGUGUACAGGACAGGGACAGGAUGCCUUCUCAGGGACCCACCAGUGUCUACACAGCCAUCUUCUCCCACUCUCCUCCUGGGAUGUGAAGACACCCUCUUCCACCAUACACAGUCGCUAUAUCAACUUCCUCAUCCCCCGAUGGGACAUGGGGAGUCACUUUGGCAACUCAGAUGCCAGGGAAGAGAGCCCUCUGUCCCUACGGUCUACCCUUCUCUUCCCUUGCAACCACGAGCCCAGCAAUAGUUCAGUGAGUGGAUGGGAAAGGCUGCAGCUGACAAGGAAAUACGAGGUCCCCAUCAGUUGGUCACCUUAUCAUACAGAUAGGCACCGGGGAGUCAGACUCCAAGGCAAAUAGGGACCGUGCCAUCAUGAAGUCUUUCCAUGGAAGACAGACAGAAAUUCCCACUGGAGAUCUGUCAAGAAGGCUGCAAGGAGGCAGGGGCCUAUGACCUGGCCUCAGAGUGGGGGGGAAUCUCAGGCAGUGGACACAGGGAGCACGGGUGGCCUGCGUUUCAAGC